CGCUAGGGAGCAGCAACAGCUAGCCAAUUGCCUUGAAUUGAGACUAGAGACAAGCGAACUUGUGACGCAUGAAUGCAGGACGACAGUGAAACAAUAUGAAAGAUUAUAAAAUA